rnacentral:lncRNA from 1 species
AUAUACAAACCAGUUAAGUGCUCGACUGUUUAUUUCUUAUCCUCUAUGGGAAUGAAGUUCGGUAUUGUCUUUUUUUUCACACACCUAAAAAAUGGAACCACACAAUUGUUUGAUCCUAAAAAAUGAAUACCAGAAAACAUAGAAGAUGGACCAAGCAAAAUAUGUGAUCCUUGUUUUCUUUUUGCUUCUAAACCUGGCUGUAGCUUUAGGAGUGUUGUUGAGUAAUAAUGAUGAUGAUAACUAUAGCAGAUAUGAUUUCCCAAAUGAGUUUGUUUUUGGGUCAGGCACAUCUGCUUAUCAGGUAGAAGGAGCUGCUAAUGAAGAUGGAAGAACUCCUAGCAUUUGGGAUACCUUUGCUCAUGCUGGUUAGUUCUUUUCUUGUUUUUCUUGUUAUCAUUUUUGGAAUUUUUUAUGAUAUGUAUUUUAAUUUUUUUUAUGAUAUGUAUUUAAUAUUUUUGAGAAAAAACUCAAGUUUCACAUUAAGGCCUAAAAAGGUUUGUCUGAAUAUAUGUUUAUAAAAUAAAGACAAUUUUCACCUUGCAGACCGAUUUUGUAUGGUUGACUUAGGCCUAACUCUCAAUUCUAAGAUGGUAUUAGAACCUCUUCCACAAUCCGCUGACCCGUUGCAAUCAGGUUUCUGAUCAGGUCAUCCACCAUUUAUAUCCGCACCCCCAAUGGUGUUAGGUGCGAAGAGUUUAUAAAGAGUGACACUCAUUUGUAUGUUUAAAAAUGUCAGUGAGAAAUUAAACUAUCAUUAUAUGAAAUGAAACUAUAAUUGUUGAUGCAAAACCAUUGAUAUGUCUUAAGUUAUAAGCUUUUGGAAUAGUCCAAAACCAAUUCACAUUAAUUGAGCAUAGUAAUGUACAAUUUAACUAUAUCAUUCACAUUAAUUGAGCAUUAUAAACCAAUUCUCAUACUUUCAUCUAAAAUUUUCUUAUAAAAAGGGUUUGCGCACGGAGGAAACGGAGAUGUAGCAUGUGACGUGUACCACAAAUACAAGGUAAACAAUACACAAAGCUUCUAUCUGUCUAAUUUUUCCCAGUGAUACAUUUUUUAAUAUGAUUCAUCUGUUCAUGCAGGAAGAUGUGCAGCUCAUGGUUGAAACAGGCCUUGAAGCCUUUCGAUUUUCCAUUUCUUGGUCAAGAUUGAUACCAAGUAUUCUGCUCAACUUAAACUUUAUAGUAUAAGUGCGGUGAAUUUUAGAUUUCUUUUAUUUCUUUCUGGAGUAAAGAAUGAAUGUCUUUGAAAAUGCUUUUAUUUAAACUCAGAUGGGAGAGGACCUGUCAACCCGAAGGGAUUGCAGUACUACAACAAUCUCAUCAAUGAACUCAUUAACAAUGGUUAGAUACGAGUUUUCUUAAUUCAAUUUAAGUUAAAGCAUGCCUUAAUUAAGAUUUCAUUCAAAAUUUAUAAACAUGAAAAGAAUUAUAUUUGUUUAAGUAAAUACAAGUCUUUCCCUUAUGCAGGAAUCGAACCACAUGUCACUCUACACAACUAUGAUCUCCCACAAGCACUUGAGGAUGAAUAUGGAGGAUGGCUUAGUCGUGAUGUCAUGUAUGUUCUGUGCAACUAUAGUGUAUUCCCUCCGUGACACUUUAUAAGCAAAAUUAUGCAUUAUAAUGUAUAAAAUUAUGUGUGGUACUAUGUGAUUGAUGCUUGAAAUAAGACUCUUUUCGUUAAUCAUUAGUUCCCUAAAGUUGGUCACUAUGUGGUUAAUUAUCUUAAUUCGAGUUUAUAGUUAAUAUUAUGAUUCUCCUUGCCUCACUUGCUUGUAUGAUAUUUUGUCAAACACACUUCAAUGCUUUGAAGAUUUCUUAUUCUAAAAAAUGUAUUUAUUAUGAAGAAAUAUCCUUAUAUUGCAACUUUUGACAGAAAUGAGAAUUAUGACUUGAAUGUCAAUGCAGAAAAGACUUCACAAACUACGCAGAUGUGUGUUUUAGAGAGUUCGGCGAUAGAGUCAAGUAUUGGACUACUGUGAACGAGCCCAAUAUCUUUGCCUUAGGUAGUUAUGAUCAAGGAAUCACCCCACCUCAGCGAUGUUCUCCUCCAUUUUGUAUUAUAGAGAGCACUAAGGGCAACUCAACAUUUGAACCAUACUUGGUAGUUCAUCAUAUUUUGUUAGCACAUUCUUCAGCUGUGAGAUUGUAUAGAAGAGAGUACACGGUAUAUGCCUAAUCUUUUUUCACACCAGUACUUUUCUUGUGGAUUUGUCACUCUCUAGAUGUUUUGAUUGGAAAAGGCUUCAAAUUAUAUACUUAACCCUUAUUGGGUUCUGAACCUUUUAUACUGGAUUUUUAAUAUUUUUCGACAUACAGAAACCUUGUAGGAAAAUAAUGUUCAUGAUUCCUUAGAGACUAAUUACAUUGCAGGAGGAACAACAUGGAUUUGUUGGUAUAUCUGUCUAUACAUUUGGGAUAGUUCCUCAUACAAAUACAGAGAAAGACAAGGCAGCUUGUCAACGUUUCCGCGAUUUUUAUCUCGGUUGGUGAGUUUCUGAUUCUAAAAUUGAUUGAAAUAUUUUUUCUACUUACUUUAAAUAUUUAAGUACUCUCGGUUCCUUAUAUCAUUUAAGACCAAUUUUGAGGCUUAUAAUAUUUUUUGUUGCUGUUUAUGACUAUAUUGUAUAAGGAUAUGACAUUCUCAUGUGCCUAUUUUAUGGCAGGAUUAUGGAACCCUUGAUUCGCGGAGAUUAUCCCAAAAUUAUGAAGGCAAAUGCAGGUGCAAGAAUUCCGGCAUUUACAAGUCGUGAAUCCAAACAAGUUAAGGGUUCCUAUGACUUUAUUGGCAUAAUUCACUACACCAAAUUAAAUGUCACAGACAAUUCUGAUGCGCUGAAGACAAAACUGAGAGAUUUCUAUGCAGACACGGCUGCAAAGCUACUCGGUAUGUAUUGUCUGUUUAAGCAUUGUGGAUUUUAAAGAUUAAAGCUAUAUAACCUUGCUGUACUAAUUGCUUUUGUCAUUAUGAUUAUGUUGUUUUCAACUAGCUGAACUCUAACAUCGUUUAGCUUAGCAUCUGAUUCCCCUUUCCGCAGCGCGCACGUAUCACUUGUUGAAUAAUUGGUGGAGCAAAAUAAAUCAUUUUUCUUUAAACAGAGCAAAAAUGAAUAAUUCCUUUGUUUUCCGUGGUUUUGCAGGUCAAGAGGGUAUACUUACAGAGGACGAGGUAACAGUUAAAAAACUAAUUAUAAUGAUCAUCGUAAUUAAUUGGUUCAAUCACUAGAUUACUUCGCUAUACCAACCAUCUUUAUUGACUUGACUCAGUACCCUGUCGCACCAUGGGCUUUACGAGAAGUGCUGGAUAUAUUCAAGAUUUUUUAUGGCAAUCCAACUAUAUUCAUUCAUGAAAAUGGUAUGUGUAUCUCUCAUUCAAGAUUUCAUUGAUUACAACACUCUUUUAGGAAAAUCGUAUAUGGAUGUUGAUAGAUGUAUAAUAAAUUGCUUUCUCUGAUAGAAGUAUAAUAUACUAACAACUAACAUUUGCAUGAAAUUGUAAACAAUGAUUUAACAAUGAUUUUGCGAAACAUUUGUUAUCAUUGUUUAAACUAAUGCUGCAUAAAUAAUAUCAGUUCCAAUGGAUUGAAUUAUUGAUGAAAAUCGGGUUUGUCUUGUUAGGCCAACGGACAGCAAGCAAUGCAUCGCUCAAUGACGUAUCAAGGGUGAAAUAUUUGCAUGCAUACAUCGGUAGUGUGCUUGAUUCCUUGAGGUAUAUGAUUGCAACUCCAUCUUACUAUCUGUUGAACAAUUAUAUCUCAAAGUUGUCUUUGAAGCAAGUUAUCGUCUAAUAAAUGAUACGCGAUGCUUUGAUACAUUAUCUGAUAAAUUUCGUUGUCAUGUCUUAUUUUCUUCAGAAAUGGAUCAAAUAUAAAGGGAUAUUUUGCGUGGUCUUUCAUUGAUUCAUUUGAGUUGCUGGAUGGAUAUAAAUCAAUCUAUGGGCUGUACUAUGUCGAUAGGAAUGAUCAAGAGUUGAGAAGAUAUCCAAAGCUCUCUGCAAAAUGGUACAGCCAAUUUUUAAAGCGUACAAGAUCUGCUCUAGUUGGUGCUAUUGAACUCAAGAACGAUCCAUCGCUUGUUUCUGUUGAACUCAAGAAUGAAUAAUUUGUAUGCUUUAGUGUGGUGCUACAUAGUGGUGUUUCUUUUUAAAGUGUUUCAGUUUCUUAAGUUAGUUGGUAGUUGGUUGGGUGGUUAAGAAAUCUGUUAGUAAGCAGUUACUCAUUAUUAGAAGCAAUGUGCUGUCUAUUUGGGCAAUGUAGUACUAGUACAAUUUUCCAACUCAAAACUUAAUCAAUCACAACUUGAGCAACACCUAAAAUUUAUGGCAUAGGAUUGAAUUAGAUAGAACAAAAUGUUUAACUUAGUAUUAAAUUCUCUUCAAGAUUUGGUGGACCACAUGCUAUGAAGUCAUACAUCUAUUGACGCACUAAACUUAUGACGGGUGUGUUAAAGUGUACCAUAUAAUUCUCAUCUUACGGAUUGAUUUUGUAAAAUUGAGUUAGGCUUGACCAAAAUUUUAAUAUUUUUUUAUUUGUGACACAUCAACUUGCCAUCUCUAUAUUUUAUGUAAUUUUUUCUUUUUCUAUCUAGACAAUCUCACAUCCUAUGAAGCACGAACACCUCUAUGAUUAGGCGUGUCGCGGUGUCCGACACGUGUCGGUGGAUUGUUUAAAAAAAUUAAAAAAAAUCGCUAUUUUAAUCUUCGAAAUAAAAUUUUGGUUCUUCAAUUUUUUUAAAGAAUUAGAAAUUAACCCUUAAAAAUCAGUUUCUAAAAUAUUCUUGUACCAUACAUAUAUUUUUACCAUUAAAUUUAUACACUCGUUCCAUCAUAUCUUAUUUAAUUAAUGAUGUGAUUUAUUAAUUUAAUGAUAAAAACAUUUGUUUUAUGAAAAAAAAAGUUGUCCGAGACAUAAUCUUAUAGCAUCUCUAAUACAUUUCACACACAAAAAAAAAUAUUGAUAUUUAUUUAAUUCUUCCAUUGAGAAAAAGAAAGAAAAAAAGAACAGCUAUUAUAUAUAUUAUUAAAAAUAUAUAAAUUAAUGUUAAAAAAAUUAUAAAUUAAGGAAAUAUACAAACCACUUAAGUGCUCCGGUGUUUAUUUCUUAUCCUCAGGGGCAAGAAAUUUGGUGUUGUCUUUUUUUUUUUUUCUCACACUUAAAAAAUGGAACCACACAAUUGUUUGAGUUUGAGGAAUACCAGAAAACAUAGAAGAUGGAACAAGCAAAAUGUUUGAUCCUUGUUUUCUUUUUGCUUCUAAACUUGGCUGUAGCUGUAGGAUGUGUUGUUGAGUAAUGAUGAUGAUUAUAACUAUAGCAGAUAUGAUUUUCCAGAUGAGUUUGUUUUUGGGUCAGGUACCUCUGCUUAUCAGGUAGAAGGAGCUGCUAAUGAAGAUGGAAGAACUCCUAGCAUUUGGGAUACCUUUGCUCAUGCUGGUUAGUUCUUUUCUUGUUUUUUUCUUAUCAUUUUUG